rnacentral:SRP_RNA from 2 species
GCCGGGAGUGGUGGUGUACUCCUGUAAUCCAACUACUUGGAGGCUGGGUACAGAGGAUGUUUUAGAAGUGGAGAUUCUGGGAUUGGAUUUUCCACGUUGACUGGGGGUCUGCUAGGAGUAAAUCCUCAACUUGGAUAUUUUGGGGGGCCUGAGGUAGCCAGGUUGAGUCCAAAUGGGGGAAAGAUUUAAAUCCUAGUAGUGGGAGUUCAAUUUCAGGUUGUCCAAACAAAAACAGACCUGUACCUAA